rnacentral:sRNA from 1 species
CCUGCCUUGAUGAUAGUGGACUGAACCUCUGAACCUGACAAGAUGGAGAACCAGGCCAUCUUCUCUGUCCCUAAUGAACCAUUUUGGGAGGAAACUAUGGAACUGUCCUAACUGUCUGUAACUAGGGUGACAGAGCAUGAGCCUGAAAAAAGGAAAAGAAAAAAAAGAGAAAGUGUUGCUCUCGUUCCAGCAAACGCACAUUGAGCUGGUUUGAAUGGCUAUCCUGCGAGCAUUGUCAUCAGCAGUCUCCUCACGUUCUUUGGUUUCGAUGUGAAUUACUUUUGAAGGAAGGCAUAUAUGCAAGUCAUCUGACCCAGGUUGUACGCGGGCUCCGCAGCAUAUGGCUGGGGGAAAGAACAUCGCAUCUUUUGUUCGAGCUGGGGACUGAACCCAGGG